rnacentral:rRNA from 1 species
UGGAUUCCCUUUCCGAARGGCGACUGAAACGGGAGGAGCCCAGCGCAUAACCUCGCGGUCCCAGCCGCGAGGGGUGUUGCGUUUCGGUGGAUCCGUCCCGCCCGAGCCGUUCGGCGCCUAAGUCACUGCUUGAAAGCAGCCCCCGGGAGGGUGAUAGGCCCGUGUGGCGGCGCCCGCCAGAGGGUCAGGGCGGUUCGGGCGGAGGGAUCUCCACCGCAGAGUCGGGUUGCUUAGUACUGCAGCCCUAAGCAGGUGGUAAACUCCAUCUAAGGCUAAAUACAAACCACGAGACCGAUAGAGAACAAGUACCGUGAGGGAAAGUUGAAAAGGACUUUGAAGAGAGAGUUCAAGAGGACGUGAAACCGUUAGAAGCCAAACGGGUGGAACCGCGAAGGUCGAACGAGGGGAUUCAGCCCGUCGGCCGGCAGCGGCGGCGGACGGCUCGCUCGACACGGGCGUGAGGACCGGGCGCGAGGCGUCCCGGCUCCGUCCCCGCCUCCCCCUUGCCGGCGGGCUUAUUUCUCCCUCCAGUAGGUCGCCGCGACCCGUGGCGGGGACCCCGAGGCCGUCCCGGAUCGGAAGGCUCCCUCGCGGAGCCGACGCCGGGCGCGGUUCUGGCGGCCCCUGCGACGGUCACUGCGGGGAGGUCGUUGCUCGCAGCAACCUCCCUCGCGGCGUGCAAGGGAUCGGUGACCCACCCGACCCGUCUUGAANNNNNNNNNNNNNNNNNNNNNNNNNGCGCGAGUCUAAGGGCGAACUAAACCCGGAGGCGAAAUGAAAGUGAGCAACACUGGUUGCAGGCCGAUCCCCGGCCGUCCAGGUCGACCGGUCUCGGCGGUCCCGCGCUCCAAGUGCGGGACCGAAUCCCGGGCCGGGGCCUGCGGCGGCCCUAGCAGAGGGCGCAGGCCGAGGACUUGCCGCUCGGCGGCCCGGGGCGACGGGGGCCUCGCGCCCUCGUUCCCCGGCGUCCGCCGGCAAGUACCUGAGAGCGCACCCGUUGGGACCCGAAAGAUGGUGAACUAUGCCUGGCCAGGACGAAGCCAGGGGAAACCCUGGUGGAGGUCCGAAGCAGUUCUGACGUGCAAAUCGAUUGGCAGAGCUGGGUAUAGGGGCGAAAGACUAAUCGAACCAUCUAGUAGCUGGUUCCCUCCGAAGUUUCCCUCAGGAUAGCUGGCAUUCGGAGUUUAAAAAUGGGAUGAGUUUCAUCCGGUAAAGCCAAUGAUUAGAGGCCUUGGGGGUGCAAUGCCCUCAACCUAUUCUCAAACUUUAAAUGGGUGAGAUGUGGAGCUUGCUUGAUCACACAAUGUUCGAAGCUCUAUGAUUGAAUCAGAAUGUCUAGUGGGCCACUUUUGGUAAGCAGAACUGGCGAUGUGGGAUGAACCAAACGCGCGAGUUAAGGGGCCUAAAGGAAUGCUAAUGUUGACACUACGAAAAGGUGUUGGUUGCUAUAGACAGCAGGGCGGUGGCCAUGGAAGUCGGAAUCCGCUAAGGAGUGUGUAACAACUCACCUGCCGAAGCAACUAGCCCUUAAAAUGGUAUGGCGCUCAAGCAUUCUCCCGAUACUCGGCCGCCGGGGCACUACGGGCCCUGAGAAGGGUCUCGAAGCCCCGGCGAGUAGGAGGGUCGCAGCGGUGAGCGCAGAAGGGACCCGGCGCAGGCCGGCCUGGAGCCGCCGCUGGUGCAGAUCUUGGUGGUAGUAGCAAAUAAUCAAGAGAGAACCUCGUUGACUGAUGUGGGGAAGGGUUCCAUGUCAACAUCAGUUGGACAUGGGUGAGUCAGACCUAAGCCCAAGGAUAAACUUCCUGCGUUCCAGGACUCCCCAAGCGACUGAAGGAAGGUCGUCGUUGUCUGCUGCUGCUGUGGCGGCUCGUGCGGUGCUGCCGGCGAUGCCAAGACGGCAGCAGCAGCAACAACAACAAGCAUAUGAGCAAAUGCUGGAGGGGACGCAGUGGCGAAAG